UACGGAAGGUCCGGGCGUUAUCCGGAUUUAUUGGGUUUAAAGGGAGCGUAGGCCGCCUCUUAAGCGUGUUGUGAAAACCGGGCGCUCACCGUCCGGCUUGCAGCGCGAACUGGGGGGCUUGAGUGCGUGCGACGCCGGCGGAAUUCGUCGUGUAGCGGUGAAAUGCUUAGAUAUGACGAGGAACUCCGAUUGCGAAGGCAGCUGGCGAGUGCGCAACUGACGCUAAUGCUCGAAGGCGCGGGUAUCGAACAGG
rnacentral:rRNA from 1 species